rfam:Ovis aries breed Texel chromosome 7, whole genome shotgun sequence.
UCCCUGGUAGUCCAGUGGUUAAGACUUGGUGCUUUCACUGCUAUGGGCCUGGGUUCAAUUUCUGGUCGGGGAA